rnacentral:misc_RNA from 1 species
AUAAAAUAAAAUAAAAUAAAAACUAAUAAGCUAAGGAGCGUUGAAAGAAUUUUAUCAAUAGGAGUCUUAUCAAUAGGAAUAGGUAUGGAUAUGAAAUCGCUAAAUAAGUCUUACCAAUUGUAAUCUUAAUUUAAUUUUUCAAUAUAUAUUUCUUUAUUAUGGAAUCUGCAAUCUUAAUUUAGUUUUUUGCUUUGUCAUAAUUAACUUAAACUGGUGGAAUUUAGGAUGGUUCUUUGUCCUUGUGGAGGCAUAUAUAUGUCUAUAACAUCUUUAAUAUGAUUGACUAAUUUUCAAUACCAAAUCAUCUUUAGCGGAUCACUAAUAACCUUUUAAUGAUACCUAAUCAUCUUCUUCUUUCUUCACCCACUUUACAGCAACUGGUUGUAAGAGCUUCCAUGCCAAGUUAAUUUGUCAAAUAAUUGCACACACAUGCCCAUAUGCAACCAUUGGCUGCUUAUGAUGUCUUGUCAUUAUUUGUCCAAUUCAUAAUUAGUACAUUUUUAUUCAAAUUUUUUCCUGAGGUGUGAGUGGCCACUUAAAUGGAAAUGGAAAAUUAAUAUGUCCAAAUAUAACUCCAUGUUCACAUUUUGAAGUCAAUUAGGUUUACUCAAAGAGGUUUAUUUUUAUUCAGCCUUUAUGUUGAGACAUGAACAUCACUAGCUCAGCAAACAGGAAUUGCUCAAAUCUUUAUAUUUAAUAAUCUUGUCUUAUAUGAGAAAAUGGAAAGUGCAGCUGCGUUAUGUAUCCAUCCUCUUUAUGUGGAGUUAAAAUAAUGAAAUGCUAAAAGAGGACCUUUGCUUAAAGAUAAAGGAUAUAAAUGAGUUGUAUAAAUAUGAAUUGUCAUUAU